GAUGAACGCUGGCGGCGUGCCUAAUACAUGCAAGUCGUGCGAACAGACGCGUUGCUUGCUCCACUGACGUUAGCGGCGUACGUGUGAGUUACAUGUGGUUCACCCACCUAUAAGACUGGGCUAGCUUCGUGAAACCGGUGCUAAUACCGUAUAAUUUCUUCAACCUCGUGGUUCAAUAGUUAAAGACGUUUUUGCUGUCACUUCUACAUGUAUCCGCGCCGCAUUAGCUAGUUGGUACGGUAACGGCUUACCAAGGCCACGAUGCGUAGCCGACCUGAGAGGGUGAAGGGGCACACUGGAAGUGAGACACGGUACAGACUCCUAGGGGAGGCCGCAGUAGGGAAUCUUCGGAGAAGGGCGGAAGACUGAAGGAGCAACGCAGCGUGAGUGAUGAAGGUCUGCGGAUCGUAAAACGCUGUUAGUAGGGAAGAACAAAUGUGGAAGGAACUAUGCACGUCUUGACGGUACCUAAACAGAAAGCAACGGCUAACUACGUG
rnacentral:rRNA from 1 species